rnacentral:tRNA from 4 species
GCGAGCGUGGCGGAAUUGGUAGACGCACUGGAUUUAGGUUCCAGCGCCGAAAGGUGUGAGAGUUCGAGUCUCUCCGCUCGCACCA